UACGGAGGGUGCGAGCGUUGUCCGGAAUCACUGGGCGUAAAGGGCUCGUAGGCGGCCAACUAAGUCAGACGUGAAAUCCCUCGGCUUAACCGGGGAACUGCGUCUGAUACUGGAUGGCUUGAGUUUGGGAGAGGGAUGCGGAAUUCCAGGUGUAGCGGUGAAAUGCGUAGAUAUCUGGAGGAACACCGGUGGCGAAGGCGGCAUCCUGGACCAACACUGACGCUGAGGAGCGAAAGCCAGGGGAGCAAACGGG
rnacentral:rRNA from 1 species